UGCACUUUCCAAAGCAGUCGGACUUAAUAAAAAUGUUUUUAUGUUGAGUCUGUAUAGUUUUCCUCUUAUUUAAAUGUAACAUUGAUUUAAUGCUUUUUGCAGGGAUGUAUAAAUGUGUUUUGCUUGACUGUAGUGCUGUUUGCGUUUCACUGGUUGUUUUUAUACUGACUUUUAACAUUCUGGAUUAUUGGAUAACCUACUGGAUUAUUAUUAUUGAUUUUGGCCGACUGUUAGAAUAAUUUCAGGUAACUUCAAUUAGGCACUGUUAUUUGGGAGGACAUCGAGGUCAUGAACAGAACUAGAAUAUUGCUUAACAUUUUUAAUUUCAAGUCUAAAAUGUCCUGUUGUGAAUGAGAGUUAAGUUUGAAAUUGUACAGUAGAAGUUUACAAGCCAGUGACUGAGAGAUCGACCUCCUUCAGUGGACUUUCUUUUUCCUCCUGAGUUUUAUCUUGCAUGACCAGUUUUACAAAAGUGUAGGACGAGGACUUUGUUUUGUAUAGAUGCACUUUUUGUAGACCGGAAAUAAUAAUAAAAAGGGUUACUUUUAUUUACUGCACAAAUUGAUUUUGCAGGUGUGACACUUAUUCUUGAUACACCACAUUUUAGUGACGCGAGUGAUCUAUUAAACCGUAUCAUCAUUAUUUAAAAUGUAUACAAGCACCUUGAACUGGGUGAAUACCAUGGUACGUGCAUGUUAAUCAAUACCCCUGUAUAUCUUCACACGAUGUCACCAGAUGUACCAUGCUGCACCCUUAAGGCCUGUCUUCUUGACCACGUCCAGCUGCAGCGAAGACGUGGCGCGGGUCAUCAUGCACCAGGGACAAGAGAGUACUGCCCUCCUGAAUACCUGAUGAGCGGCCAGUACCACGGGGAACCAGUCUUUUCCCAAAGAUACGUGAACACCUGGGCCAAAGAUGGCUGAUCAAAAGCGCUGGCGGUUCUGGCCAUGGGCCUGUUUCAUCUUAAAGAUGGAUCACGGGGAAAACGCUGUGCGUAGGGCUUUCCACAUCACCAUGGGAAUCCAGGUACAAGUGUGAUCAUUACCCCACAAACCAGUUUCCAAUGAACAAGGGCUGCUUGGAAUCUGCAUGGCAGCGCAUCAUUUAAAUACACAAAUAGCCAAACGCAUUAGACACCAGUAAUGCGCUGGUUUGAUGUGCGGUAAAUAUCUAACGCAUCCUGAUAAGGGGUCCGACUCCUGUCACAUCGAUCGAAUACCGCCCUCUUCGUUGUGAGACCACGCCCCUUUUUUUCUGCUUCACAACUUGAAUCAGAAACUGCACGUUUUUUCAAACUUUUCAAAAAUGUGACAUUGCUGGUAAAUAGCGUGGCUACGCAUUUUAGGCAAUCGCAAUAAUCCACAACACUCCAUCGGUUGCCAUUUUCAUGACAUGAACUAAUCCAGCGAGAAAGUUCAUCCACUGUUGUCCAAAGUGCUGGACCUAUUCAUAUUUCUCCCCUGAUUCAGACGAGAUUACUUUCUCGCUGGAGAAAGCAAGACUUGUAUUUAAGACAGAAGGAACGGUUUCCGGUUAAAAACAUAUUAAAGAUGCACGUGUUUCUUACAAACACACCGCUUUUGGCUUCACAAGACUGGACUGGUGUGGAGCACUUAUGGAUUAUUGUGAUAUUUUCUUUCAUCAGCUGUUUGGACUCUCAUUCUGACGGCACCCAUUCACUGCAGAAGAUCCGUUGAUAAGCCAGUGAUGGAGUGCUUCAUUUCUCUAAACUUCAUGGCCUGAAGGUCAGCCUAUUUAAAUUUCUGGGUGAAGUAUUCCUAUGCUUUAAUUCCACUGUGUAAAAACGUAUGACUUCAAGCUAGAACUAGUAAUUAUAUGGUUUACACUGUAACUUUUAUUUCGAAAGGCUUUUGGAAACAAAGGCGUUGUAAAAGGCUGAGCCAAUUAAUUUUCUGAAAUUGAGUGAAAACUUGAAAUCGGCCGUGGAGAAUGGAGAGGCGAUUGCACGCUUUGACAUUGAUUUGUUAAUUAGAUUGGAGAGUUGAGCGAAGUCUGAUUAGGAAGUGGUUAAUGA